AAUAUAUCAUAUUAAACGUAAAAAACUAUCUUUCUUCAUAUUUUGAAUCAUUAAUGAUGAAGAAUAUGUUAUCAUGUUUAUUUUUGGCCUAAUUUUGUAUCUUAUUGUUUCUCAAUUGAAUAGAGAAUUUUGAUUAUUAGUUAAAAUAUCUUGUAGGGGCCGUACAAAGAGUUGAAGAUAACAGAGCUACUUUCAAUUCAAAUUGCAAUAAGGUAAGUUCAUAAAUUCAGGUACGCCAUCAACUAGUUGUUUGAUAGUAUAAAAUCUUUAAUGAUGUUAUAAAAGGUUAUUUCUUUUGUUGGUGCUUUGAUGUAUCUUCUUAAGUGAACAAAUCUAUAAAUUCCAUAAUUGAACUUUCACGUUAAAUUUUUAUUAUAUUGACAUAUACCUUUUGUAUAUCAUAUCCUUUGUAGAGUCAUAUAUAGAGGCUACACUAUGGAUAGAAAUUGGAUACACAAUCCCGAUAGAACUAGCGCUGAAUAUUUGUUAGGGAUUAAGAAAUUCAUUAGAGUUGCAAGCAACCAUGUCAAUCAUCGAGGUCAUUCUGAGUGUCCAUGCCAAAAGUGUAAUUAUUGAUCUUGGAGGCCAGUGAGUGAAAUUCGACAACACUUGAUCAUGCAUGGGAUGUCAUACAAUUACACUAAAUGGAAUCGUCAUGGUGAACGAUUGGGGGCCGUGUUAGGUUCUUCUACCAAUAACUUGUUUUGUAACUCUAGUCUCUGAUGGCAUUGAUUGUGAUAAUGAUCAAGUAAUGAAUAUAAUUAAUGAUAUGUAUCCACAUGCCUCGCACCAUCAUAGGCAAAAUGUAUUAGAAGCAGACGAAGUAUUACUUGAUGAUGAUAUAUUGGGAAAUAAUCAGACAUCUAAGAUGAGUAGGCAAGAGAUAGAUAAUUAUGAAAGGUUGUUGACAGAAGCACAAAAAGAACUUUACCCUGGUUGUAAAGAUUUUUUUGUGCUAACAUCGAUUGUAGAGUUGAUGCAAUUGAAAGUCAGGAAUUUGAUGACCAACAAAUGCUUUGACGAGCUUAUAGGUAUCUUGAAAAGGAUGCUUCCAAAAGAAAAUCAACUGCCUCCUACUCAUCGACAAGCUCAAAAAGUUCUUUGACUGGGCUAUGAAAAGAUCCAUGCAUGUAAAUAUGAUUGUGCUUUAUUCUACAAGGAAAUUGAAUGGUUAGAUAAGUGCCCCAUUUGUAACGAGCCAAGGUAUUUAAACAGUUCAGAAGAUAAGAAAAAGAUCCCUCAAAAAGUAUUACGUUAUUUUCCACUAAAGCCAAGAUUAUGACGACUAUAUAUGUCAAUGCAUACUGCCAUUGAUAUGAAAUGGCACAAGGAUGGACGAGUUGAUGAUGGUGAUAUGAGGCAUCCAGCAGACACAAUUGCAUGGAAGGAAUUUGACAAGAUUUAUCCCAGUUUUGCAGUCGAGUCACGAAAUCCAAGGUUGGGCCUUGCAACAGAUGGCUUUAACCCAUUUGGGGAUAUGAACAAACCUUAUAGCAUGUGGCCAUUUGUGGUUGUUUCUUAUAGCUUGCCUCCUUGGAUGUGCAUGAAAAAGGAAUUCACCAUGCUAACCUUAUUAAUUUCUGGCAAGCAUGAACCUAGUAAGGAUAUUGACGUUUAUUUGUUCCCGCUAAUUGAUGAGCUAAAAGAAUUAUGGGAAAUCGGUGUGCAUACAUAUGAUAAAGCCACUGAUUCCACUUUUAAUUUACGUGCUACUGUGUUGUGGACUAUUAACAAAUUACCUGCUUACGAAAAUUUAUCAGGAUGGAGUACUAAGGGUUAUAAUACAUGCCCUGUCUAUAAUGGUGAUGGAACAUCUGAGUGGUUCAGUGAUUAGGUUUGCUAUAUGGGGCAUCGGCGAUGGCUGCCCUAGGAUCAUGUGUAGAGCAAUAUCAAGGAAUCCUUUGAUGGGAAAACUAAAUUUCGUGCUAGACCUAGACAAUUAUCAGGUGAUGAAAUUUUGUCUCAAGUACAGAACAUAAACUUUGGUCAGAUUGGUAAGCAUCCUGAUAACCAAGAUAAAAAAAAAGGAAAAGGACACUUGAAGAACGGAAUUGGACUAAGAAGAGUAUUUUUUUUUAGCUAGAAAAUUGGUCAGAGUUAAAAAUUAGGCAUAAUCUAGAUGUAAUGCACAUUGAGAAGAAUGUUUGUAACAUUAUUAUUGGGACAAUAUUGGGUAUAGAGGGAAAAUCGAAAGAUACAGUGAAGGCUCGCCAAGAUUUAGAAGCACUUGGAAUAAAAAAAAAAUAUUUAUGGUUAGAUUGGAACGGAGAGAAAUGGGUUAAAUGACAUCCAUUUUUCACAAUGAAACCAAAUUUAAAGAGAGAAUUCCUUCAAUUUUUGAAAUCCGUAAAAUAUUCAGAUGGCUAUGUCGCCAAUAUCUCAAAGAAUGUGGUAAUCGAAUCUGGAAAAAUUUCAUGGAUUGAAGAGUCAUGAUCAUCAUGUAUUAUUCCAACGAAUACUUUUGGUUGGUAUUCGAAAAUAUUUACCAAAAGAAGUGGUUGAACCAAUUAUUUAGUCGUCCAAUUUCUUUCAACAAUUAUGUGCGAAGACAUUACUCAUGGAGGACAUUAAGAGGUUGGAAGAUGAUAUUGUGUAUAUAUUGUGCAAGUUUAAACAAAUUUUUCCACCGGCUUUCUUUGUUUCCAUGAUUCAUUUAUUGGUACAUUUACCCAAAGAGGCAAGACUUGCAGGUCCUGUGAGUUAUCGGUGGAUGUACCUAAUAGAAAGGUACAUGUUUAUUAAUUUUUUCUCAAUUGUAAGUUUCUAAGUCAAUGCUAACUAGAUGAACAAUAUAUCUCACAAAAUUUAUUCAUUUGUAGAAUGUUAGGGACGUACGAAAAAUAUGUGCGAAAUCGAGCUCGACCUGAAAGAUCCAUUGCGGAAGCAUAUGUUGCACAGGAAUCUCUUACUUUUUGUAUCAUGUACCUUCGAAUAAUUGAGACACCUUUUAAUCGACCCGAACGGAACUUUGAUGGUGGCUCUAGACAAGAUAAGCUUUCUAUUUUCUCCCAAGUAGCGCGACCAUUUAUGAGUAGUUCAAAAAUUUCACUCACAAAUGAUGACAUUGAGAUUGCUCAGUGGUUCAUAUUGAACAAUUGGUUCUUCCUUUUCUAAUGUAAGUUCAACAUCUAUGCAUUUAGUUUGAUUAUUUGUACUACACAUACAUGCAGUAUAUAUACGUAAACUUGAUGUGUAUGGAGUAUGAGGAAAUGAUGAAGAGUAAAAGUGAUGUGGACGUACAGAAAAGGCAUAGAAAAUUGUUUCCUAAUUGGUUUUGGGAACGCGUAAGUCAUUAUCCAGUUGUAAUAAGUUUCACCAUUUUUCAUGAACUUAAUAAUUUUAAUACUUAAUUUUCAUUAUUAUUUAAUCUAAAAUUAGGUAAGGAGUUUAGAGAAGGCGAAAUCAUCCUUGUACAAUGAUGAGCGAUUUGAGUUAGCAAGAGGUCCUCUUCGAGCUGAAACAUACCAAGGUUUUAUUGUGAAUGGAGUAAAGUUUAUAGCUGCAGAACGAGAUGAUAAGCUAACCACGCAAAAUAGUGGUGUCUUUGUGCCUGGCAAUCAUGAUACUGAUAAUGUAGACUUCUAUGGAAAGUUGAUAAGUGUGGUUGAGCUACUGUAUAGACAAUGUUACAAGGUUGUUAUAUUCAAGUGUCACUGGUUUAAUACAAACCCUCAUAGGUCAAGAUCAGUUAAACGCGACUACCACUUACUAUCUGUAAACUCUAGUACUCGGUGGUAUGAUAGUGAUCUUUACAUUCUUGCAACAAUGACAAAACAAGUAUUUUACGUAAAUGAUCCCAAAUCAGGUGGUGGUUGGAAAGUAGUUCAAAAGAUGGAUCAUAGGCACAUAUAUGAUAUACCAAGGAAGGAGAUGUAUAAUGGCAGUGAUGACAAUAAUGAUGUGGCGUAUCAAGAAACUUCUUCUUCGGAUGUACCGAAUAUGGUCGAAGCUCGAAAUUAUGAUGUUAUUCAAACACUACUUCAUAUAGAUGACGUUCCUCCUGUGUUGAUUGAUCCAAAAUCCUUUGAUCGACGCCUUGUUAGAGGAAAUGAUGGAGACACAGAUGAUGAAAGUGAUGAAGACAACAAUGGCGAUUUGGUUUAUAAGAUCAGUGAACAUGGUUUGGAGGACAGUGAUUUAGAAGAGUAAGAUCAUUACUUUCACCAUAUAUUUAUACAAUCUAUAUUUAAUAAUAUAUUAUGUUCUCUAUAAAGCAUCUAAUUAAAGCUUUUACAUGUUUCCCUCUUAGUAUAGAUAUUACUUUGAUAUGGUCUAAUGCUUGUAUUCUAAUUAUUACUUUCAUAGUGUAGAUGAAUUUGAUUUCUCAAAAGAAACAUUCUAACAACUCACAUGUACUUUCAGCACCUAAGAUGUCUCGAUUGACUAGCACAAAUGUGCCUCCACUACUUCAAAAAUCACGAUCUAGUAGCUCUUCACUAAUAGGUUUGUACCUCCUCUUUCAUUGCGACAUUCAUUACAAGCCAAUAGGCUAGUACCUCCCUUAUCUCCGACAUCUCAAUCCCCCAACACUUCUCUACACCAGCAUCACAAAAUUGUGACUCGAUCAACCAUCAAAAAUAUUCCCACUUGUUCUGGUCCCUUAAUCGAGACUACUCGUGCAUCUACACAUCCUGAGAUAAUAGUGAGGACCCUUCCUAAUAUGGUCCCUCCAACUACAAGCUUGAUCAACCACCUUCUCAUCCUACAAGUGCUGUUCGUCGUCACCCAGGUCGUAAACAAGGCUCAGGUACCAUGCCAUUAUUUUAAUUUUCAAUUCUGAUUUACAAUAAGCAUGAUAAUUGUAGCUUAAGGUUUAAGAGUGCUAGCUGUCUAUGAAUGUGUUUAAGAGAAUGUGUUUCAACAAUCAUGACCAUUGAAGAGAAUGUGUUUCAACAAUCAUAAUUUGUUGUGGCUAUGCCAUUUGGAUUCUAGUGUCUUGAACUUCCCAGUUCUCAUUGACAUGUUCUAAUGUGCUACUGGGGAUUUUCUUUUGAAUAUCAAUGGUGUGUAUUUGAGUAAUGCUUAGAACUUCCUAGUUCUCAUUGACAUGUUCUAAUGUAUAGUUGAGGCUUUUCUUUUGAAUAUCAAUGUAAUGCUUAUGUUUUGGAUGGGAAAAAGAGUUGUUUCACAUCAGGGUUGAUUCUGCAAACUGAAGCAUCUGAUUAUUGUACCUGUCAUUAUUUUAGAAUAUGUCCUUACAUAUUUCNNNNNNNNNNNNNNNNNNNNNNNNNNNNNNNNNNNNNNNNNNNNNNNNNNNNNNNNNNNNNNNNNNNNNNNNNNNNNNNNNNNNNNNNNNNNNNNNNNNNNNNNNNNNNNNNNNNNNNNNNNNNNNNNNNNNNNNNNNNNNNNNNNNNNNNNNNNNNNNNNNNNNNNNNNNNNNNNNNNNNNNNNNNNNNNNNNNNNNNNNNNNNNNNNNNNNNNNNNNNNNNNNNNNNNNNNNNNNNNNNNNNNNNNNNNNNNNNNNNNNNNNNNNNNNNNNNNNNNNNNNNNNNNNNNNNNNNNNNNNNNNNNNNNNNNNNNNNNNNNNNNNNNNNNNNNNNNNNNNNNNNNNNNNNNNNNNNNNNNNNNNNNNNNNNNNNNNNNNNNNNNNNNNNNNNNNNNNNNNNNNNNNNNNNNNNNNNNNNNNNNNNNNNNNNNNNNNNNNNNNNNNNNNNNNNNNNNNNNNNNNNNNNNNNNNNNNNNNNNNNNNNNNNNNNNNNNNNNNNNNNNNNNNNNNNNNNNNNNNNNNNNNNNNNNNNNNNNNNNNNNNNNNNNNNNNNNNNNNNNNNNNNNNNNNNNNNNNNNNNNNNNNNNNNNNNNNNNNNNNNNNNNNNNNNNNNNNNNNNNNNNNNNNNNNNNNNNNNNNNNNNNNNNNNNNNNNNNNNNNNNNNNNNNNNNNNNNNNNNNNNNNNNNNNNNNNNNNNNNNNNNNNNNNNNNNNNNNNNNNNNNNNNNNNNNNNNNNNNNNNNNNNNNNNNNNNNNNNNNNNNNNNNNNNNNNNNNNNNNNNNNNNNNNNNNNNNNNNNNNNNNNNNNNNNNNNNNNNNNNNNNNNNNNNNNNNNNNNNNNNNNNNNNNNNNNNNNNNNNNNNNNNNNNNNNNNNNNNNNNNNNNNNNNNNNNNNNNNNNNNNNNNNNNNNNNNNNNNNNNNNNNNNNNNNNNNNNNNNNNNNNNNNNNNNNNNNNNNNNNNNNNNNNNNNNNNNNNNNNNNNNNNNNNNNNNNNNNNNNNNNNNNNNNNNNNNNNNNNNNNNNNNNNNNNNNNNNNNNNNNNNNNNNNNNNNNNNNNNNNNNNNNNNNNNNNNNNNNNNNNNNNNNNNNNNNNNNNNNNNNNNNNNNNNNNNNNNNNNNNNNNNNNNNNNNNNNNNNNNNNNNNNNNNNNNNNNNNNNNNNNNNNNNNNNNNNNNNNNNNNNNNNNNNNNNNNNNNNNNNNNNNNNNNNNNNNNNNNNNNNNNNNNNNNNNNNNNNNNNNNNNNNNNNNNNNNNNNNNNNNNNNNNNNNNNNNNNNNNNNNNNNNNNNNNNNNNNNNNNNNNNNNNNNNNNNNNNNNNNNNNNNNNNNNNNNNNNNNNNNNNNNNNNNNNNNNNNNNNNNNNNNNNNNNNNNNNNNNNNNNNNNNNNNNNNNNNNNNNNNNNNNNNNNNNNNNNNNNNNNNNNNNNNNNNNNNNNNNNNNNNNNNNNNNNNNNNNNNNNNNNNNNNNUUUCUUACUUUAUGAAGUUCAUUUACAUGUUCGACUUUUAUUAUUGGUUUCACAGGUACAGAUAUAGGACACUUGCUAAGGACUCUUGAUGAUCAUCCUACUCGAGGAGCAUGUAAACAAAUUAAGAUAUCUCGUAUCGUUCGUACAACUCGAGAAAAAAUUCGAGCUUUAUGCAAUUCAGUAAGUAGACGAGCAACAAGUUCUGAAGUACAUAGUUUAUUGGUUCAUGAUAUCGGAGCCAUCAUUCGGUCACAUUGCCCAAUGAAUAUGGGUUAUUAGCGGACCAUUUCUUCAAGUGAGAAGAAGGACCUUAUAGAUGAGAUCACGGUAAGUAUACAUAAAUGUGUUUAUGCUGUUGGAAAUUUAAUAGCCAAAUAAAACUACAUGAAUAAAUUAAAAGCACAUUACUCAUUUCAUUUUGUGAUUUUAUUUAUUCUUACUUCGUGGUUUAUUUUCUAGAAUUGGAUAGUUUGUUCUAUUUGUGAUUUCUUUUUAUUUUAUGAUUUUUUAAUUAUGUCAAUUCCUGACGAACUUCGAGAUAGAUUUGAAAGACUCGAGAUUGGCAAAUUAUAUUAAUAGACUAUACAACGGGAGGUAUAGAGAGUUUAAGGCUGAGUUGAGUGCAUACUAUAAGUUGCAGAAGACACAUGAGAAUGCAUUAGCCCCCCUUUGGAGAUGCUCGAUAGAGGUGUAAAUCAAUGUGUGGACCUAUGUAAUCAUUUGAACUCCAAUAAGUUCAAGGUAUUUAUUGUGUAAUUCUUUACCAGUUCACAGCUUUUACUUCUAAUUUUGUUAUGUAAUAGCUAUAUAUUUUUCUUUGCAGAAAGCAUCAUAGUGAAUCGAUCGAAGAAGAAGUACAAUCAUUGUACUGGUUCACGUCCUUUCUCUUAUAUAGUGGAGAAGAUGGCUGAUAUAGUGAAUUUAUUUGGUUAUUAACAUGACAUAAUUCAAUAAUUUUGCUACGAAUUUGAAUAUAAUAACUGAAACAUGUAUUUUUUUCUUAUUAGGAUGGUUCAAAAUUUCCCGAAGUCGACACAUUUGAGUUUGCUUAUUCUGGGAAGAACAAGUGUUGGACUUGUAAUGCAGCCAAAGCUCAACAUGUAAGAAAUACUCAACAUAAUUUUUUUUUUAAUCGUGUUUUAUCUACCAUGUUUUACACAAAAUAUAUAUUGUUCAGUUAGAUUAAAAAAUUAUAUUUCUUAGCUUGUGCUAUAUCUCUUGUGUACAAUUGUGUUAUCUCUUGCAAACUUUGAUUUUAUGGAUUGUUUUAUAUAUCUUGUUGGUUGUGUUUGUAGGAUGAGAUGCUUGUUAAAGAGCAUGAAUAUCUUAUAGAGAAGGCAAAUGAACAACAACUUCCCGAAGAUAUCCAUUUGGAGGAGAUACCGAUAGAUGACCCUGAUGCCGGAAUUAAUAUCAUGGUGUUCGUUCUAGGUACGAAGCCCGGGCAUCGAACUCUUAGGUUAGGAGAUGGUCGCCUUCGAGACAUUGGGAUAUCUUCUUCCAAUGUACACAAUUUGGAGAAGGAGUUGGAAGCAGAACGUGCUGCUUGAAAGGUAGUCGAUGCAGCUCGAGUAAACAUGGAGCAAAAUAUGCAAAACAAGCUAAAGGUUGUUGAGCAACAAUUCAAUUCUACAUUACAAUAUUGGCAUCAUUCUAUGCACCAACUAUGUGGUAAAGUUCCUGGCUUCAUUGUACCACCAUUUAUACCAUUGUCAAUAGAGAAUAAUGGUAAUGAGAAAGAUAAUGCUAUUGAGGAUGAAGAGAAUGACUUCGGUGAGAAUCAGUGCAUGUCUAAUUCACGAGACUAAAGAGUCAUGUUUUUUAUUUGCAUAACAAUAGAUAUAUAGCAUGUUUGCUCUGUUUAUUUUAACUUCAGAUGUAAUCAUACUUGAUAAAACUCAUUUAUUCGUGCUUUGAUGAAAUAUUUUGGAUUUAAUAUUGAUUGACAUUGCGUUUUAAUCGAUUUAUUAUGGUUUUUGUAUCUUUAUAUUAUUUUAAAUGAGGUUAAAAAAAUUAGUAUAAUAUAAAUAAAAAAUAAAAAAUGUAGAAAUAAUUUAAUUUCUCCCUACAAAUUCCUUUUUAAUAGCUUACAAAUAUCAAUUUCCUACUAAAAAUUAUUUGCAGAAAAACAGGGUUCCGCCCACAAAAUAAUUUGUUCCACGUUGUUACAAACUUUUAAUUGUAGGAAAAGAUGUUUAUACUUGUCCCACAAAUAAAUUUUCCACACAAAAUAUUAUUUGUGGGGAGUAACAUGAUUUAUCCCACAUGAUAAUUUGAAGGGACAAGCGAAAUCGUUUUGUGUGUAGAAGUAACUUUAGCAGACGGAUUACUUUGUGGGAGGAAAACUUAUGCGACAAAUUGUAUUUGUCUCCAAAGGAUUCACAGGAAAAAAUCUUUGCCCACAAACUUCAAACAUUUGUUGUCUUAUACCUAUCCCCUCGAUGUUUGCCUUACAAACGUGCCUACAAAUUUUUUCGUCUGCAAAUGUAUUACCCCACAAAUAAGAGCCUUUCCCCACAAAUAAAUUUUGUAGGGAAAACAUAAAAUUCUUGUAGUGAAACAUGAAUUUGAAAGGAAAUCCCCCCCCCCAACACCAAAAAAAGUUAUGUAAUUACUCAAAAGAAAUCUCCCUCCCAAAAAAGCAUGCAUUAUUGAGAUCUAUCGAUGACAGCAAAUAAACCACAAAUGGAAUUAAUCUGUAAAACCUUAAUUACAAGUGAUAUACAAGCACUCAUGGCGAUUUUUUUGUACCUGGUCGUGCAACAUAAAUCAUUUUCCCUCCUUUGGUAUGUUCGAAGGAUGAAUGUAUCGAAGAGGAAAGUGGAAGCUCGAAGCAAAGAGCAGAUUGAAGCGAUUUAGAGCAGUCGUUCGAAAAUUUGGUGAAUUAGGUUUUUAUAUUUCCAUCAAUUGGGUUUUUAUGGGUCGGGUCGAGUUGGAUUUAAUUGGACUGGAGAUGGGUUGGGCAAAGUUAAAUGAGUCAUUUGAAUUGGAUUUAGUGGGGAUUAAUAACAACUGGCAAAGAACAUUGCUAGUUGUUAUAUUUUUUGCAUCAGUCAAUGUGCGUUGCAAAAGGGUUUCAGAAACAUUCAAAGAACAUUGCUUUUGCAACAGCCAAGGACCACUGCAAACAUUAAUACCUUUUGUAACAGUCAAGGAACGCUGCAAAAAUUAAAACCUUUCGCAAGAGUUAUUGAACGUUGUAAAAAGAUGUUUCACCAACACACACCAAACAUUGCUGUAGAUAAAACCUUCACAACGUUCAGAAAUCUUUGCAAAAUGAUAGAGUCACAAUGGUUGCUGAAUGUUGCGAAAUGUGACAUUGGCAAAAUGCAUUGAUAUGUUGUUGUCAAAUCUCAAUUAUUAACACCAAGAGCAACAUACAGUUAGUGAAUGUUGCAAUAGACCCCUUUAGCAUCAUGCAAUUGAUGAUUGUUGCCUUUCACAUGUUGCAAAAGGCGAAUUUAUUUAGUGUGAGUUUUUUACUAUUAUUACGUGACCCCUUUUAAGUCCUCCACACGAAGCUAUUGACUAUAUAUUAUUAUGAGUUCCAAAUAUUUGAUGGGUUAUUUCUCCAUUCUAUCCAUUGUCCCCGACAAUGAACUACGGACACACCAUUAGUAUUCAUUAUUAAGGUAAUCUCCCAUAUAUAGGAAAUGACCUGUAUCUCCAUCAUUCGAGAGGGACUUUGCUAAAUGCACAUUAAACUUUACAUAAUGGAUUAUAUGAUGUCAUAUGUCACUCUUCAUUUGCUAAUUUAAAAUACCGUCAACUUUUUCAUUCAAUCUUUCCCCUUCACAUCAUUUAUAUAAUCCCAUUUAAGAGUCUUAUGAAACUAUAAAAGAGUAAUAGAAUAUGAGAAUCUUAUAAAAUAUCAUUUAAACAAUAAGCAAAUAAUACUGCUUUCACAACACUCUCAUUUUUUAUUCAAUAUGAGGCAUGGCCUUUAUAUCACGAAAAUUGUGAUAUUUAUUUUUACUUUUUAGAGCAUUAAAAGAUUUACGUUUAGAAAUUCGAUAUUAACCACAAGAUUUAUGUAUCCAUCACAUUUCUUUAUCUUUUCAAAAUGUACUACAUUUUUUUCCUAUGAUCAUUCCGGAUUCUUUUUGGUUCGACUUUUAACUUAGAGAUUAUAAACAAAUAAUUUUGGAAACGAAUUAAAAACCGACCCAAGAACUGGAUCAGAAUUGUUCGCUGACUGAAUGUGAGAUCCAAAAUUUCAUCGAUUUCCAUCGAAAGUAGACCUAAGUGGCUAGUUAGAUCCGGUGUUGGUUAGGGUGCUUCCAAGUAAAAAAUGCCAACCCUAGUUGAAGCAUUGAAUAAACCUCAAUAUUUAAAAAAUAAAAAAUAAAGAGUUGGAUUCAUCUCGGAUUUUCGUUUCCAAAUACUAGAAUACAGAACCUAACAAAACUAUAUAUUUGGUUCUUGGUUUAGCACUUGGAACAUUUAAACUUUAAGAAAAAUAAAUUUUAUUUAUUUUCAAAAAUUCUUAUCAGCAAUUCGUGCACUUUUUUUCCCGCAGUCUCCACUAUUUAUUCCAUUUUUGAAGUUUUUAGAGAAAAUAAAUACGAAAUUUAUAAAUAAAAAAUUUGUUUUUAACUGAAAUUUUUUUGUAUCCAAGACAUUCUACAUUUUCCACAAGUUAUGUAUCAUUUUGCUAUUUUUCCUUUUCUCAAAAAAUUUGUAUGACAUAGUAUGUUCAGAAUUUUAUGGAUAUUCUAAUUAACAGUAAUAUUUUACCAAAAGAAUAAAAUGUUUACCAACAAAUUUUUUCCAUUGAAAUUUUUAUGCUUUUUUGUAAUUACCUAUGAAAUCGUUCGUUGAAAAAUCCGUUGAAAAUUCCACACAUUCUAAUAGUGCUACUGAGAAUGCAUAUGUUCUUCAAAAUGAAACAAAUAUGAAGUUUUUAAAUAAUAAUUUCUUUUUUUUUUUUUUGAAAAAAUAAUAUCUUAACUUAAUUUUAAGGAAUGCACUUGUAAUUGUAGAAAAACAUUUUAAAGUAGGUUUCUAAUGUAUAUAGAAAUAUUAUCAAUAACUUUCUCUCAAUAACAAUGCAUAAUGCAUGGUAUACAAACUAUCUCAUCAAAUUUGUUCAAUAUAUACUCUAAGGAAUAAAUCAAACUAUUUGGUGGAUAUGAUCAUGUUCUUUAUUUAAUAAAAGGAUUGAAUUAGUUGUCUCAUUGUCUUAUUUAAUUUAAACGGUCAAACUGUUUAUUUAUUAAAAGAUUAAUAAAUAGUGCUUUUCAACUUAUUAAUCGAACAAGAAAAACAUUACAGCCUAAUUGCACUUUUUAAGCAUAAUUGUAUUGUUAUUGGCUCGAAUUAUUUCCAUCAAGACAAGCUUUUAAUUGCAUAAAACAUAUAGAUGUUUAUGCUAAUCGUCCUCUCAAAUGUAUCGACAUUUUAUUUGAGGGGAAUAAAUGAAGACCCAAUCAAGUGUUAAAAGCAAAGACUUAUCCGGUCAGUGACCGGAAGUUGAUUCUUAUUUGAAAGGAGAAGUGCAAUUCAAUAAUAAUAAUAAUAAUAAUAAUAAUAAUCACUUGUCCUUAUAUGUCACGUAAGACAACUGCCAGAGUAAGAGAUUGUGAAUGGCAUUACUCAAUCCAAAAUACAAAUAAAUUGCAAAAUACAAAAAAUAUCAGCAAACUCUCCACUAUGAUGGUUGCAUGUGCUAAGAAAAGCAGCAAGAUAGAUAGAUACUUGAUGCAGGUCCAUUCUCAAGGGUCCUAAUUAAAAGGUAUUCACUUUUCAUGUUUUCUUCACCAUAAAAUAAUUGUAUUAAACGGAAAGUCCUUAAAAUAAUAGGAUUUGAUCAUAGGUCAAAUGAUUUUGUUUCAACUUUUUUUUUUUUUUUUUAAUCUCCAGUGGAGAGAAUAGAUAAAAGGGUAAAAUUCAGUGUACACUUCUAAGUUUCAACCACUAUAUUCAUAUGCAAUCAUUUAAUGACAAGUUGCGAAAUGAAGUCUAACUUUUAGACUCUGUGAUUGUUAAAAUUUGAAAAACAAAUUUCAUUGCAUCUCUUAAUUCUUUACUCAAAACUAAGAAGAUAAAUUAGUGUCACCCAACAUUAGAGCUUGUUUAAUAAAGAUUUAUUCUUUAAAAAAGUUUUUUUUUUCUUUUCAUAGAUUUUUAAUUAAAAAGUAAGGAAAAAUUAUGAUGAAACGAGAUUAAUGAUAAUUUUUUUUAAGAGAAUGCUUGGUUUAAUAUUAAUAUAAAGAAAAGUAAUUGUCAAAUAAUCAAAAUCAAACAAUGAUUUACUCUCUCAAGAGUGAAAGUCAAAAUUGGUAUAGUGAGGUAGAGAGAGUGAUAGAGUCUUCUAAAGUUGGGUUGGGGAUAAUUAAACACUAAUUAUAAAUAACAACGAAAAAGUCAGCGCAGCACUCAGGUCCACCAACUAUUUCUUUGAAAGUGGGGUUUUUUUUAUAAAGAUGAACUUUCUAGUAGUGUAUGUUUGGUAGAGCUUAGCACCAAUUUGAUUUUCAUUCUUUUUAAAUUGUUUUUUACAGAAUUAUUUUUAACCACAUAUUCACAUAAUAAAAUAUUCGACACGUAACUCUAAAAUUUUUGCUUCUUUUUUAAUCACAAAUUAUCCUAAAAAUACUAUUCAAAACUCUCUUUUAGAAUGACAAUCAAACAGGAUCUUAAGUAGGGAUGUCAAUUGGGCCUCGCCAGCUCGGCUCGUGAAAAAGAUGCUCGUGGGCGGCUUGGGCUCGUGAUUUCACGAGCCAAGCUGGCCUCGCCUGGAGGCGAGCUGAGCCCGCUCGGCUCGUCGUCCCGACUCGUGGCUCGUUAAAAAUAACGGCUCGUGGCUCGUCAAAAGUGACGAGCCAGUGACCAAAACGGUCGCAAAAGUGACCGUUUGGUCAAUGAACUUUUUUUUCCUCCCCAUUUUUUUACUAUAAAUACCCCCUUCCCCCAAAUUUUUUUUCAUAUCAAUUGCUCUUCCAAGAUUACAACUCUCUCAACUCUCUUUUAUUAUAUCAAUUAUCGAAUUUUUACUCUCUUGUACUGCAAAAUAUACAAUAUCAAUUCAAUUUUUCUAGUUUAUUAGUUACAAUUUCAAUUCAUCCAAUUCUCAAUUCUCACAAUCUCACUACAUUUAUAUUCAUUUAGUCAAGAUUUCAUCAUAAACAAUCACAGAAAUGGAUCAACGUUUAUUUGUUGAGAGCUUGUUCGAUACAGGAUGUGAGCCAUUGCCACAUCAUGGAGAAUCACCUAGGACGCUGCAAAAUCAAUUUCCAAAUGAAUUUGCCGGUCUAAAUGACAUACCGAUACCUGAAGAUGUUCACAUUCACGGUCUGGGAAGCCACACUCCAAUUGAUUUGGAUGAUAUUAACAUUCCUGAAACGGAAUAUGAAGAUGAAGAUCAGCAAUUAAAUAUCCCAGAUGCGAGGGGAAAGCGAAAGGCCAAAAAACAAGCAAAAUGUUGGGAUCACUUUAAGUUGAUUUCAACGGGAAAAGUCAUUGAUAGCCUUGCAGAAUCUAAAACAGUAUGUAAAUACUGUCAACAAAGAUUGGCAUGACAAAAAGGAAUUGGUACCACUCAUCUCAACCGCCACUACAAAUCAUGUGCAGCCAGACAUGGACUUCUUCUAGCUGGUCAACCACAAUUACAAUUUGGCAAUUCAGGCGCCGGUUCUAUAACUUCACCCCUAUCCACGUGGGUGUAUUUGGAGAACGAGACUCGAACCGGAAUGGUGAAAUUUGUUGCCGCCACUGAGUUGCCUCUGGCUAUUGCAGACAACCAACACUUCGUCUUGUUCGUGAAAGAAUAUCUACAACCGAGGUACGUUGGGGUAAGUCGUAACACUCUUCAUGCCGAUACAAUAAAUUAUUUCGAUAAUUCAAAACAACAAUUAAUUAUGAAUUUACAACAAUAUGGGGAUGUUAUAUCCUUAACUUCUGAUAUAUGGGAAGAGGUUAAUAAAAGAGCAUAUAUAGCUGCAAUCGCACACUAUAUAGACCCAUUUUGGUGCAUGCAUAAGAAAAGUAUUGCUUUUAGAAUUAUUGAAUUUCCUCACAAUAUUAAUAAUAUAUAUAAUGCUAUUAUCAGUAUUGUUAGAGAAUAUUAUUGUGAGAGUAAAAUUCGAUCUUUUACUUUUGAUAAUGCUAGCGUUACUAAGGUAGUCAUCGAUAAAUUGUGUAGGACACUUCAACCUGAUUUUGGUGGGUAUUUGUUUCAUAUUCGUUAUGUGUGUCGUAUCUUGAAUUUAAUUGUGCAAGAUGGUUUAAAACAUAUAAAUGAUGAACUUCAAAGAAUUAGGAAUGCAUUAGUAUAUAUUACGAUCUCUCCUAAUAGAAAACAAGCAUUUAAAGAUUUUUGUGCCGAUUUAGGGGUGAUGACUGCUAAAACAUUUGUUAGCGACAUAGGUCAUAAAUGAAACUCUACAUACUUGCAAUUAAAAUCAUGUGAAAGUUUCGAAAAUUUAAUAACUGACUUUUAUAAUAAUAGUCAUGUUAGAAGUGAUGAUGAUGGUAUGUUAAAUGAAUCCGAUUGGAUUUUAGCUUUGAAAGUUAAAAGAUUUUUGACAUCUUUUUAUGAGACCACAAAAAUUUUAUCCGGCGUUUAUUAUCUCACAAACCGUAUGGUGCUUGAACGUCUUUAUAUAAUUGCAGGAACAUUCCAUAAAUAUAAAAAUGAUCUUGCUUUUAUUGAAAUUUUAAUUGCCGUGGAAUUAAAGUUUAGAAAAUAUUGGGAAGAACUGCCUAUGUUAUUUCCUUUAGCAUGCGCAAUGGACCCCCGAUAUAAUAUUUUGGGAACUAAAUACGUAAUUGAUCAAAUCAAUAAAACUUUAAUACUUGAUACACCUAUCACCUAUAAGAAUUUAGAGCAAACAUUAUGUGGAAUGUAUGAUUUAUAUGCGGAAACAAUGGGUGCAAAUGUUAGUCUGGUACCCUCUGCUGCACCUACUCCUGCUGAAAUUGAAAAAGAUGCUGCAGAAAUAAUGAAUUUAUUUUAGGGCAUUAAUACAUUUAGAUAUGAUGCAACUGAAAUGUGUUCAUCGAGUGCCAUGUCGUCUACAUCUGCAUCUCAUCAAACAUCGACCGAAACUCAAAAUGUGAUGCCUGUCGAAUUAAUUGAUUAUUUCAAUCAUAAUAUGCCAACAGACAGAACAAUUAAAAAAUUUUCAGAAGAAGUAAUUGAAUUCUGACAAAAGUAUGAAAGACGUUGGCCAAUUGUUUCUGCAAUUGCAAAAGAUCUAUUGACACCUCUGGUUAGCACUGUUGCUUCGAAGUCUGCUUUUAGUGCAGGUAAAAGGGUUUUGACUGAUGUCAGGAGUCGACUGAAAGAAGAUGUUUUGAAAGCGUUAAUGUGUGUGAAUGAUUGGCAGAGCGCUCAUUUUCGACUAUAAGAUAAAUACACUGAAAGUGCAUGUCGUCAGGUAAGUGAUAUUUGAUUUAAUUAUAUUAAUCAAAAUUUUUUUUAUUUUUUAAUCGUUAAAUUUAAUUUUUGUUAAAAAAUUGUACACGUUACAACAAGUUGUUCGUGCACAAUUUUUAACUCCGCCUACUUAAAAUUGAUGUAGCCGGUCCCAAGCUCGGAUAAAGAAUGAGGGUUUACAUUUUAUUAACUUUAAAAAGAAAUCAAAAAAAUAUAUUUUUUGUAAAUGUAUUUCAAAAAAUAAUUCUUUUUCAUUAUAUAAAUAUUUUAUACUUUAUAAAAAGUAUUACAAAUUACAAUAUGAUAUAAAUAAAAAAAAUAAAAACUUGUUUUCGUUAAAUUAUUUGUAUUUUUUAACACUUUUGAUUUUUAAAGCUCUAUUCUUUAUUUUAUAUAUAAAAAAAAAGGCGGGCCCACGAGCCGAAGCUCGGCUCAGCCCACGAUCUCGGACGAACCACGAGCUCGUGGGCCGAGCCAAGCUCAGCUCGUUGAAAACGAGCCACGAGCACGAGCCGAGCUCGUGACAUUAAGGGCCGAGUUGGCUCGGUUCGAUCCAUUGUCAACCCUAAUCUUAAGCAUAGUAAAAUGUUAGUAUUGUGUAUUGUACGAGAACAUGUUUAUAGAUUUUACUUUCAUUUACAAAUAAAGAAAUAAGUGUCAUACUGUCAAACCAUAAUGGAUAUGUGCAAUUUCUUUCUUUUUCUUACACAAAUUCUUUAAGUCAAAUAUUUAUAAAGAAAAUUUCAAAGCAUAUAAUAUUUGAUAUGGUUAAUAGCAGAAAACGUCCCUACGUUUGACACUUAUUGUGGAAAAUGUCCAUACGUUUCAUUUUUUUGCAUUUUCGUCUUUAUUUCAAUGUUUCAUUGCUAAAAACGUCAUUUUCAUUGUUUUUUAAUAUAAAAUGAUCAAAAUAUCUUCCUAUUUAAAUAAAACCAAAAAGAAAAGAAAAGAAAAGAAAAGAAAAAUAAAGAAUAAAUCGCAAUUUUACUCCUAAAUAUUUUAAAAAGUGCAAGUGAGUCCAAAUAAUUAUUAAAAGGCCUAAUAGUACAAAACGUCCCUACGUUUGGCAUGUAGUGUGCAAAACGUCCCAACGUUUCAAAUGGAUGAAAAUGACUUUUUCCCAAUAAAACGUGAAAAUAGGGAUGAAAAUGCAAAAAAAUUGAAACGUAUUGACUUUUUCACAAUAAGUGUCAAAGGUAGGGACGUUUUUUACAAGAAGUGUCAAACGUAGGGAUGUUUUGUGCUAUUAGACCUAGGAUACGCAUAUUAUGGCCACAUGGACUACAUAAGUACAUAAUGCAGCUACACAUUUUCCUUAAAAAGUGAACUAGCAAUCAUCAAUAAAUGAAUAAAAAGGAUAGUGGAGAAAUCUUAUUUCAUAUAGACGUUUAUAAAAAAUUUGAAAAACUAUUAAAUAUUUCAUCAUUAUACAUGUAAAUGCCAAUUAUGCCCUUUCCUAUGUAACACGUUCGACGGUGAAUGUGAAACUUAGGUAGUAAGAUACCAAUUAGCUUCCGUAGGGUAAAAUUUUCAAACUUAAUUCUCAAUUACAUAUUAUAAUAUUAUCCAUAAAUUAUUUUAUUUAUUUAAAAAUUUAAUAAUAUCUUCCGAUGCUAAAAUUUAGCGUAAAUGUAAAAUUGAGAAAACAAAAAAUAAAGGAUGAAAAAAUUAUAAUUAAUUCAGCAACCAAAUAAAAUAUGUCACACAACUGUUAUGCCCUCUUCCAGAUGUUACACAAGCUUCAACCUUUGACUUUCCAGCCAGAAGAACAUAAAUAGAGUAACCAACCAAAGUAACAAGCAAAUCAAAAUUUAACUCCGAUUUGCCUAUCAUUAUUCAAAAACUCCUUUUUUUUUUUUUUUUUUUUUUGAUAAACUUAUUUUCAACCACAUAUUUUCACGAUAAAAUAUUUUGCUCAUAAAUCCAAAAAUUUUCCUUACUCUUUAACCACACCUUCUUCAAAAUAUCCUAUUUCAAAAUUCAAUUUUCUAAAAACACUUUUUUUAAAUGAACAUAAAACAUGGGCAUACGAAAGUUGGUAGAACAGGAAUAUAAUACAGACAUCCAGAAGAAUCUUAAACGGUGUCGCGAAGAGCAAAAAGUGUGCUUUAAUUUUGACUGGUGUGUAAGGAAGAAGCGUAAAAGUAGGGGGAAUAUACCGAUGAAGAUCCUGGUUGGUGGCUUUAUUUAAAUACCCACCGAUCAAUUUCACCUCUACACAUACAUGAUUACAUACGCAUAUAAAUACCAGAUUUCAACAUAGAUAAUCAUAAGUUCGCACAAGAGUUUCUCUCUCUACUCUUUUGCUUCUGAUCUUGAUCCAGAAACAAACAGGUUGGUUGUGUGUGUGUGUGUGUGUGUAUAUAUAGAGAGAGACAGAGAGACAGAGAGAACUUUUGCAUUUUUAUGUGCAUGCAUUAUGAUUUAAACACAGAUAUACGGUUUUUUUUUUUUUUUUUUUUUUUUUUUUUUUUUUUGGGAUUCUUUGUCGUGUUAUUCAUGCAAAGGUGAUGGCGAUGGGUAUUUUUUCUAAUGGAUGUUUACAGAUUUUAGAUGUUUAUGUAGACUUUUUACAUGUUUUUUCCCUCGAUUUAAAAUAAUAAUAAUUUCAUUUUUUCUACAAUGGAAAUGAAAUAUGAUCUUCAUUCUGCCCGUGUUUUCUUUCUUCCUUUGGUGGAGAGAAUUUGAGAUUUGGAUCAGAAUUUGUCAAUUAGAUAAGCAGAAAGUGGAUUUUUGCUUAUAGUCCAAUUUCUGCUUAUAGUGUGAUUUUAUUUGUUGUAUGUCCCACCUUGUGAGGGUGAGUGGGGUAGGGCGGGUAGGAAGAGAUUCUCCCGGAAUAUACCUUUUUGGCCUUUUGUCUUCCAGUUGUAUUAUUCUGUGGACUUCUCGCUUUUCUAUAAUAUUGAUUCAUAUACCUUUUAUAGUUCUACUAUUUAUAACAUUUAAUUUAUUUGAUUGCAAAAUUUAUUAUAUUUCUUAUAAUAAUGAUUCAUUAAUGGCUGAUUAUUGUCAUUCCCCGCAAUUAUAGAUUUUAGACGAUGAUUUUGCACAAAUUCGUCAGGAAAAAAUCUAUGACGAUUCAUUAAUGCUUGAUUAUUUGGCAUCUAAUUAUAGAUUUUAGACAAUGUCACCUAGACAAAUUUAUGAACGAAAAAUCGAUGUUUAUGAAUCUAUGGAACAGUCAUAGGAUGCUCGAUUUCUGAUCUUUUGAUAAUCGGGUUGUUAAUUUUGUUGCUCGACUUUGUAGGUAAUUGGUGAGAGGAAGAGUAGAGGGAGAGACAAAAGAAGCAAUGGCAGCAGACAAUUUGAAGGUGCUUAAUGCACUAGAUGUGGCAAAGACGCAAUGGUACCAUUUUACUGCGAUUAUCAUUGCUGGAAUGGGCUUUUUCACGGAUGCAUAUGAUCUUUUCUGCAUAUCUUUAGUUACUAAGAUGCUCGGUCGGAUAUACUACCAUGUUGAUGGCUCGAAAAAACCGGGCAGUUUGCCUCCCAAUGUAUCGGCUGCUGUCAAUGGUGUGGCGCUGUGCGGCACGCUUGCUGGCCAGCUUUUUUUUGGGUGGUUGGGCGACAAAAUGGGUAGGAAACGAGUUUAUGGCGUGACUCUCAUGUUAAUGGCCGUGUGCUCGCUUGCCUCGGGACUUUCUUUUGGAAGUGAGCCGAAAUCAGUAAUGGCGACUCUAUGUUUCUUUAGGUUCUGGCUUGGCUUUGGGAUUGGUGGUGAUUAUCCACUCUCCGCGACUAUCAUGUCUGAAUAUGCGAAUAAGAAAACGCGUGGAGCGUUCAUUGCCGCUGUUUUUGCUAUGCAAGGUUUCGGGAUUCUGGCCGGUGGCAUUUUUGCUAUGAUAAUUUCGGCUGCAUUCAACGCCAAGUUCGAGGCUCCAGCUUAUGAAGUCGAUCCAAUUGCCUCGACUGCUCCACAGGCAGACUACAUUUGGAGGAUAAUUUUAAUGGCCGGCGCACUUCCAGCUCUAUUAACGUACUAUUGGCGGCUUAAGAUGCCGGAAACUGCUCGUUACACCGCCCUUGUUGCCAAGAACAUGAAACAAGCCGCAGCAGAUAUGUCUAAGGUUUUGCAAGUUGACAUUGAGGCCGAGCAGCAGAAAGUGGAGUCGGCAGUAGAAGAGAAAAAAUCGUUUGGUCUAUUCUCAAAGGAAUUUCUUCGUCGUCAUGGGCUGCACUUGCUAGGAACAACAACGACGUGGUUCUUGCUCGACAUUGCAUUUUAUAGCCAAAAUUUGUUUCAAAAGGAUAUUUUCAGUGCUAUUGGUUGGAUUCCUCCCGCGAAAACAAUGAACGCGAUAGAAGAAGUUUUUAGAAUUGCACGCGCACAAACUCUUAUUGCACUGUGCAGUACUGUCCCGGGAUACUGGUUCACCGUGGCAUUAAUCGACGUCAUUGGAAGAUUUGCCAUUCAAUUGAUGGGAUUCUUCUUCAUGACAGUAUUCAUGUUUGCUCUUGCCUUUCCUUACAACCACUGGACACACAAAGACAACCGAAUUGGCUUUGUCGUUAUGUACUCGCUUACCUUUUUCUUCGCUAACUUUGGGCCAAAUGCAACAACAUUUGUCGUGCCGGCUGAGAUUUUCCCGGCUAGACUGCGAUCUACAUGCCAUGGUAUAUCAGCUGCAUCUGGAAAGUUGGGAGCAAUUGUUGGUGCUUUCGGGUUCUUGUAUCUAGCUCAAAACCAAGACAAGGCAAAGGCUGAUGCUGGGUAUCCAGCAGGAAUUGGAGUAAAGAAUUCGCUCAUCGUGUUAGGCGUAAUCAACUUGUUGGGCUUAUUAUUCACUUUCUUGGUUCCAGAAUCAAAGGGAAAAUCUCUCGAGGAAAUGUCGGGUGAAAAUGAGGACACAGAAUGAAUCAAAUAGCUUAAAACAGUUCAAGUAGUAUGAAAGAGUACGUAUAAGGUUUGUUUGGUAAGGUUGGCUACACAACAUCAGACCGUAUGCUCAAUUAGAAAGAAUUCUAUCAAGUACUAUAUACCGAAAAUAUUCCUGGCGUUGCAUUUAACUUUUUCAAUUGUUUGUUGCUAUCUUUUUUUUCUGGAAUUAUUCGGUUUUCGUUCUGUUUGCAAGCCUAGUUUCUUAAGGUUAAGCUUUUGAAUCUUUACUUGUAACAUCAGGUGAAUUCUAGUGUAACUUCCUGCUGUUAUUAUCUGGUAGUAGUGUGUUUAUGAAUAAACCAGAUUGAGCUAAUGCGGAAAUAUUGAAUCUUGGAAUGCCGGAUGAAUAACUGUAUACGUACAUCUCUACUAAAUAAGAGAAAAGGCACGAGGAACAUAUUUAGCUCCUCUCGAGUUAGAGUGUGAAGAUUGCGAAUGCCCAACUUGCACAGAAUGUGUAAUUUGAAUUUCACCAAAAAUGGUAGCGACUGCAUCAAUAUUUAGUCUUUGUAGAGCCUCGAGAGACUAUAUUUCACUUCUUCAACUUCCAUGAAAUUGCAGAAAGCAACUACUUCAUCAAAGAUACUAACCGAACAUGCCAUAUGGUAGAAAGCAAAUCUUGUUCAAGUUUAUGUUCAUGUGAUUAAUGUAAAUAACUAGCAUUUAAGUGUGUAUUGAUUUAGUUGGAAAGUAAGUACUAAAUUAUACCUAUAAGCGCACCGAUAGGUUAUUUAAAAAAAAUUUAGUAUAAAAUUAUAAUCGUAGCAAGUUAAAAUGUUAUUACAAAGUAUUGAUAAUUAAAAUGCCUCAGCCUAGUCAAAAUGCACUAAGAUUAUACUUAUAUCGUUAUAAAGUAUUAUUAAUUUUGAAAUUACAAUAACUUUUACAUUUUUAUCUUCAUUUUCAGAACUUCAUGAAUAAAUUCGAAUAAAAUAAUAAAACAUAUAAAAACUUAAAACAGUGUUGGACCGAUUCACUCAUACCCCAAUUAAUUCAUAUUGGCCAAGGCCGAUUUACACCUCUAUACCUAUCACCUCUUACCACCAAGUAAAAAUAGUUGAGAUUCUAAACCAUGACCUUCUUUAAUUAGGGGAUGGACAUUUUGAUACAUAAUUCGACUAAACAUAUCCAGUCGGUUCAAGUAUAUUCUAAGCAACUUUUUAAUUUGAAUCAAAUAGAUUUAGGCUUUGUAUAUGCGCAUUGGUUUGGAUUUCGGGUUCUGCAAUCAAAUCUAUCUGUACCAGACCCAAAUAAAAUUUUCUUCAUUUCAGAUUGAAUGAAGUUAUUUAUUGUUAUGAUAAUGGAACAAAAGGGAUGUGAUAGUCUAUGUGGAAUAAUAGGAAUGGGCAGUUCAAUUUUUAUGAGAGUGAAGGGAGGAGAUGUGGUCUCAAGAAAGAGAAAUGUGAGGGAUAAUGAGUUGUUACAUUACGGAUAUUUUAUCAUCAUGAUGAUAAGUAGUAUUAUUCUUUCAGAUUAGAUCCUUAUUUGAUGUGAUUAAAAUCAAUUUUUUUGUAUAUUUUGAUGGAAAUUAAAGAAAUGUGUAGUUGAAAAGUUAUAUAUUCUAUGAAAUGUGUGGUUGAAAGAAUAAGUAAAAGUCAGAAACAAAAUGUUGCCAAACCUUAUUCUCAAGCCGAUUGAAGUGAACCCUAGCUCUCGCUGGCUGAGCAGGGCGUUGCACCACCAUUUCCUCUACUUGCACUACCAUUCCCAUCGCCACCAAACUCGUUAUUUGUAAGGAAUCGUGUCCAUCCCUCUUUGGAAUUCUGUUAUUUGAUAUUUUGAUGGUGUUGCAGGAAUAUUUUGCCCUGGUUGCGAUCCAAUCGUAGUUGUGACUUGGGCCAACCUGACCUACCAAAUUUGAUCGAAGUCCUAGAAUUUAAUUCUCGAAUUCGAUCAUCGAAUCCGAAGGAAAAUCUACCGUUGAAUUUUAACUUUCUUAUAUUCACUUUCCAAAAUUUGUCUUCUAAUCACAUAGAGCAAUUUUUAUUUUUUAUUUUUUUCUUUUCUUUUCAGGGCUAAUGAUAAGUGUAUUUUAUACACUUAUUCAGGAUCUUAAACAGCGAUGUUUAGUUGUUCCUCUAAUAAAAUAUAUUCCAAAUUGUUGUAUUUUGUGUUAAACAUGUAACCUUCAAUAGUUUAACAAAGAAUUGGAAAGGAAGAAGGACAUUGAUUUCACAAUUGAUGAAUUCAAUGACAAAAUUGCAUUAUUCGAGAAAGAGAAAACCUUGGAGAGAAAUUUUGCAUUAAAUAGACAAUAGAAUUAAAUGGGCCUCAAUUGGAUUUGCUUUGGAAUCCAAAUUCAACAAUUGCUAUCACUUCAAUUAACAAAAGUGGUGGGCUGCUAGAGAAACCAAAAAGGGCAAGAAGACAAAAGAAAAAGGUCGGGGAAAGAGAUUAAUAUAUGAAUAAAAUUACUUGUACAAAGUUGGGUUACAAAGUGUGUUGGCAAAAUCUAAGUCACUGAUUUCAAAUGAUUUAAAAAUCUGUUUUUGAAAUUAUUGGUCUGAAUGUGAUUUUAUCAUCCAACUUUAUCAACUCCCUUUGUAAAUAUAUCAUAACUCUUAAUAUAUACACACCAUACAGAAAUCAGAACAGUCUUUUUCUUUUUGAGAGUCAAACAUUGAGGUUGAAUAGAUAUAUACAUGCAGACACAUGAAAACAAAAGAAAGAGGCAAUUACAAACGUGCAAAAAGACGACAGAGAAAAAAUUGCAAAAAUUAAUCACGUUCCGUCAAUUUUUGAUAACGUCUUUUAUCUCUUCUUUCUCUAAUUUCGACAAUAUACUUUACUAGAUUUUCAUAUUUCUAGGACGUGAUAAACCCUUGUUAUGAGGAUUUUGGUUUAAAUAAUUGAAUUGACAUUAAUUUGUUUGAACGUUUGGAAGUUUAUCAUUGAUUAAUUUGCUUUUCGAUUAAUUGGCAAAUAGUUGAAUUGUUUGUAAAUUUUAUUAAUAUCGAGAGAGAUAUAGAACCGAUAGCACAUAGUGAAAAAUAUUGUGAGGUUCGAUUGAGAAUAGAGAUAUACCUGUAUGCUUUACAUGAUUUUAUAGAUGUUCUAACUCGUCUAAUGCUUUUUUACAAGUUAGUAAUUUUCAUAGAGAAAUAGGAAAGUUACGUGUAGGAUUAGAUUUAAUUACUAUUGAGAGAAGCUUUUAAAUAAAAUCAUAACAUUGACCAAUAAACAUGAUUUCAAAUUAUCAAUUUAAAUCGUUGAACUAAAAAAAAUGAAUUAACAAAGGGGAUUCUACAUCUUAGCAAUACAUCCCACAAAUUUGAUAACUUUUAUUUUGCUUUCAAUUUAGCUAUAAAAUUAGACAUUGAUUUUACUACAACUAUAAUUUGUUAUUCAAUCAAGGGUACUAAUAGAUAUAACUCAAUCAAACACGUAGUCCUCAUGGAUUCGACACUUAAUUCACCAUUAUAUUACUUGCUCAUGAUUCCGUCCACUUGUGGAAAAUCAAACGACCAAAUUUUUUAUCUUGUUGGCAAAGACUAUUGUUUUUUAUAAGUUUUAGGUAAUUUUAACCUUAAUUUGAAUUUGAAUUUUAUUUUUUCUUUUUUAGUUUAGUUUAUUAUAUUAGAAAAAAUUUACAGUAUUUAUUGUUUUCUUUUCAAGGACUUAUAUGCGAAGUCCAAGACUAGGGACCAUGCUCAAUUUGACUCGGAGAUUGAACGGAUAUUCAACUUUCGAAAAAGACAACAGUUGAAAACAUACCAAAAAUAGAAAGGUGAAUACAUGGCAAAUGAAAAUCCAAAUCAAAUAGCCAUCAGGGCUAAUCUAGUAGUAGCACAACCGAAUAUAGUUUCAGCGAAUGAAAAUGCAAAGCUCAUGGGAGAGUAUAUGUUUCCACCGAUUGUGAAAAGCCAAUCCUAUAUUGUUUAUCCGAUGUUUGGUCAAGCAAACUUCCUCCUAAGAACAGAUAUUAUCAACAUGUUCCAAAAUGUGCUACAAUUCUUUAGAAUAAUUCCAACGCUCAUAUAUCAAGAUUUUUGGACAUAUGUGCAACAAUUGAGUAUCCGGGAUUUUCAAGGGAAGCAAUCAGACUAAGGCUAUUCUCAUACACAUUGAGGGACUUAGCAAGGGAAUGAUUAGACACUUAUCUACCACAGAGUAUCACAACAUGAAACCAAUUCAGUAAAAAAUUUCUUAGCAAAUAUUUUUCAUCGAAAAGGAUUACAACGCUAAGGGACGAGAUCACUAUUUUUCAGCAAAUGGACUAAGAAGAAGGCCAAAGGAGAAUGUUUUAAGGGUGGAAAACCUGGACACUAUGCAAAGGAGUGUAGAUACUGAAAACAAAACAACUUCAAAGGUAAGGUGAAUUCCUUCCUAGAAGAUAAAAUUGUGAUUACCGUAAGUGAAAUAAACAAAAUCAAAGGAAAGAUUCCCAGUUUGUGAUAUGAUACUUGUGCUACUAUACAUAUAUCACAUGUCAAAUCUUUGUUCAAAACAUACCAUGAAGUGAAUGAAGACCAAGAGAUUUAGAUGGGUAACAAGGUUCGAUCUAAAGUGAUUGGAAAGGGAAAUGUGGACAUCAUCUUCACUUCCAAAAAAAUCGUUACUUAAACAAAUGUACUACGCAUUCCUUAUAUGAAUUUGGAACUUGGUAAAUGGAAAUCUCUUAGGAAAAUCGGGCAUUAAAAUUGUCUUUGAAUCUGGUAAACUUGUAUUAUCUCUUAGCGAAAAACUUGUUGGAAAAUGCUAUGCUAGUGAAGGAAUGACCAAAUUGUAUACUAUUAACAAGUUUAAUGAUAAUAGAACUAAUUUUGCAUAUAUUAUUGAUUUAUUUUUUUAUGGCGUGCUAGAUUAUGUCAUAUAGGUAAAAGCACUAUGAAACGUAUGAGGAUAUGUGACUUGAUUUCAUAUGAUAAAAAUAAUGUACCUAAAUUUCAAACACGCGUAGAAUCGAAAAUGGUUAAAAAGCCUUAUCAAAGUGUAAAUUAAACAUAUGAUGAAAUGUGACUUGAUUUCAUAUCUGUGAAUUAAAUGGUAUGUUGACUAGAGGUAGAAAUAGGUACUUCAUUACAUUUAUCGAUGAUCACUCAAGCUAUACAUAUGUUUACUUGAUGAAGCAUAAACAUAAGGAUUUUGUUAAGGUAUAUAAGAAUGAAGUUAAAAAUCAUAUAGGAAAGAAAACAAAGAUAUUAAGAAGUGAUAGAGGUUGUGAGUAUUUUUCUAGUGACUUUAACUUGUUUUGUGAACAACAUGACAUAAUUCACCAAUAUUUUGCACUUUAGACACCCGAACAAAAUGAUUUAGCUGAAAAGAAAAAUAGAACCUUAGUUGAAAUGAUCAAUGCCAUGCUUAUCUAUGUUAAGUUCCCAUUUAACUUGUAGGAUGAAGCCUUGUUGAGUGCAUGUAAGAUACUUAAUAGGAAUCCUUCAAAACAUGCAAAUGUUUCUCCUUAUGAAUUGUGGAAAGGAAGAAAAUCGAACAUUAAAUACUUUAAAGUAUGAUGGUGUCUUGCUUACUGCAAAAACACGAAUCCUAAUAGGACUAAAUUAAGUCCUAGAGACAUAAAAUAUGCUCUUGUUGGAUAUGCUAGCAAUAGCAAAUCUUAUAGGCUGUUGAAUUUGGAGACCGAUGUGAUUAUUGAAUCCAAUGAUAUUAAGUCCUUCGAGAAUUCGUUAUCUUCGAAUAAUGAAUUGAGGGAAAAUCCUAAAGAUAUCCCUAGCUCAAGUAGAACACAAGACAAGACAUCUUCGAAAGAUGUUGGUAAGACUAGUGAGCUACGAAGAAGCAAGAGAACUCGAGUUGAGAAGUUUUUAGGACCGAAUGAAAUUGAUUCUCAACUUAUCUCCUUUUACUUAGUAGAAGGUGUUAGAUUUCGUGUUGGCUAUUCUGUGAACAAAAGGGUAAAAUUGUGGAUGUUCAAAAGUUUGGGAUCAAUUUGUCAAUAGUUAAAGGUUAUGGGUUAUUGUGUACAUGUGUAAAGGAUGAGGGACUCAGUUGCAAUUUUGACAAAGUGUGCUAGGGUUCGAGCCAUGAAGGAGGUCAAGAUGUGUCAUUGAAGUUUUGCUAGUUUCUUGCCAAGUGGUCGUUCGAGCAACAAAAAUAGAAAAGUCGUUAGCUUUUUGUUCGAGUGAUAGGGUUACCCAUAAAACUCUAUUUUUCUUUUUUCGACAUUUUAACCCGACCAAAAGAUACAAAUACACUGCAUAUAAGAAAAAUUGCGCCGAAAUUCAGUUGUGCUCUUAAGGGAUUUAAAUUGAAGAAAACUCUCUACACUUUGAUCCUCUUAUUCAACCCCAUAUUUGAUUUGAGCAAUUAAAUAAAAAAUAUCAAAUCAACAUUCACCAAACACCACAACACAACCUUCUAGAGCCUUUUUUGAUUCUUGGAGAUCGAGGAAGGAGAUCGGAGUCCCGAUCAUUAGAGAAUUGGCGGUUCUCUUGAAUCCACGAGAGAUAGACAAAAUCAAGAGCCUAGAAUUGGUGUAGCACGCAAUCUAGGAGGGCUAGGUGUCGGGAAUUGGUGCAGAAUCACGUAUUCCAGGAAGGCUUUGAGGAAACUAUGGUCAGGAUGUCAGAAAAAUCAGUGUAAGUUGAGUCUAGCUGAUUGUAAGUUUCAUUUUCGUUUAUAGUAGAUUCCUACUGGCUUGGGCCCGGAGUUUUACCCACAUUAGGGUUUCUCCGUCAUCAAAAAAUUAUGUUAUUUAUCUUUCUGCAAUUAAUUUAAGAUCGGUAUUCAAAUAUAGGAUAGUAAAAUAUGUGAACUGAUCUGGACAAAUUAAUAUUUGUGAUGUGUUGCAAUUAUUAAUUGAUUGAAAAAGAAAAUUUCUCAUAAACACCUAUUCACCCCCCUCUAGGUGUUGAUUGGGUCGAACUACAAUAUUUCAAGUGGUAUCAGUGCCAAAUCUUGAGUUCUAACCUAUAGUUGUCUAGAUAAGUCAAUCACUGUCUGUGCCUUCGUAUUUUGACGGAAGCAACUAUGCCUAUUGGAAGGUUAGAAUGCUUGCGUUUCUUAAGUCCCUAGAUGAACGUGUCUGGGUGAGUGUACAAAAUGGUCGGAAACCUCCUUCCACAACUGUGUCAGGUGUUGUAACCCCAACUGACAUUUCCCUUUGGACAAAGGAUGAAUUGGCUGAAUGCAAUUGGAAUAGUAAAGGUCUCCAUGCAUUAUUCAUGUAUGUAUCUCCUGAAGAGUUUAGAAGAGUGUCAAUGUGCGACACUGCUAAAGAAGUAUGAGACAUUCUUGAGACAACGCAUGAAGGAACUAAAACUAUGAAAAAUUCUAAGUUGCAAAUGCUAGCCUCAAGGUUUGAAGAAAUCGAGAUGAAAGACGAUGAAUCUUUUGAUGAGUUCUAUGCCAAAUUGAAUGACAUUGUUAACUUUAGCUUCAACCUAGGUGAGAGGAUUCCCGAGUCCAAAAUUGUGAGGAAAGUUCUUAGAUCCUUAUCUGAGAGAUUUAGACCUGAAGUUACAGCUAUUGAAGAAAGCAAGAAUCUGGAUACAAUUAAGAUAGAAGAACUCGAAGGAUCCCUUCAAACCUAUGAACUCACCAUUUCACAACUAAGGAAAAACAAGUCCAUAGCCUUGAACACUGUUAAGGAAGGAGAGUCUGAGUCAUCUGACGUGGAAACUCUUAGAGAUGAAGAGAUUGCCUACUUUGUGAAAAAAUUUCAGGAAGUCUUAAAGGGCAAAAAAUGGCCUCAAGAGGAAAGGAGGGGAGCCCCUAGUAAAUUGCAAAGAGAAAAGGAUGAUAAAUCAACUGCUAGGAACCCUGGUAAGAAAUCUCAAGUGGUUAGGUGUUAUGAGUGUCAGGGAUUUAGGCACUAUAGAAAUGAAUGUCCUAGUUUUAAGAAAAAUCUAAAGAAGGGGAGUAACAAGGCAUUAGCUCUGUCUUUGACUAAUGAUGAUUCUAAUUUCAGUGAACAAAGUGAUUCCUUAAGCAGUGAGGAAAAAAAGGGCUAUAUGACUUUUGUAUCUACUGUCAAAAGUGAGUCAGACAAGGAGAGUGAAAAGGUUGAAGAGGAAGUGGAGAGUAACAAGUUCGGUGAUGAUUCAGAGGAUGAGACGGAUAUACAUGAGGCUUAUCAACUUUUGUUUAAGGAAAGUCUCAAGAUCAAAAAGGUAAAUAAAACUUUAUUUAAGAAGGUAGACGAGCUUGAGAGAGAGAAGGAGAAAAUCACCUAUGAUCUACAAGUCUCAUCUAAGAAUCUCAGUGAGUUGAAGUGUGUCAAUGAGAAAUUAGAGGACAGAGUCAAGACAUAUGACUUUUGAAUUAGAGAAAUCCAGCACUCAACUACAGUCAUUUGUGAGUGGAACUAAGAAACUAGACGAUCUGUUAGGCAUGAACAAACCAGCUGGAAAUAGGCAAGGUCUGGGAUUUGUGAAGAGUGAUAGCAAUGUGUCCAGUUUAUCCAAGACCACAUUUGUCCCUGCUUCCAACAGAUCUAAUGUUUCAACAAAUCCAGAAUCCAAAGACAAAAAUUUCACUGGACUGAAGGCCACUAGAGCUCAUAAGAUGUCUACACCUAAUUUUCAUGAUCAACACUCACGUGCAUCUGAACCUAGGUUCAUACCCACUUGCAUCACUGUGGUGCCUUAGGCCACAUGAGACCUAGGUGUCAAAAGCUAGCAAAUAGGAAUCGAAGUCAGGAUAUCCCUAUUCAAGUAAACUUUCUUUCAAAUCAGGUUAGCCACUUAACUGAGAUGGUAACGAGGUUGACUAGGAUCACCUCAAACUCGAGAAAAGUUAGGGUAAAGAAAUCUGAUGUGGGUGAGUAUACUAAGAAUCUAAAAUGUUUUGUUGCUCAUGUUGCAUAUAAGGCUCAAAAUACAUGCAUGUGGUAUCUUGAUAGUGCUUGUUCUAGACACAUGUGUGGAAACAACGCCUUAUUCUCUACUUUUGAUGACUGCAAUGGCGGUGUAGUUACUUUUGGGGACGGAGCUACUGCACCCAUCCGAGGUAAAGGCUCCAUCACCAUUGUUGGACUUCCUACAAUAUCCAAUGUACUUUAUGUAGAGGGUCUUACAACUAACUUAUUGAGCAUUAAUCAAAUCUGUGAUGCUGAAUAUUAAGUGAGUUUUGUCCAAAAGAGAUGCACUAAUUAUGACGCUUUUAGUGGUGUUGUUCUUAAAAGUGUUAGAACAUCUGAUAACUAUUAUGGAUUCUUCCAAACUCGAACUAUGUAUGCAGUAGUGCUAAAAUUGAUAUGUCUGAACUUUGGCAUCAAAGGCUUGGUCAUGUUUACUACAGAAGUCUGUCUAAAUUGGUCAAAAAGAAGAUUGUCGAUGGUUUACCUAAGAUUGAUCAAAGUGAGAAUGCUGUGUGCAAGCCGUGUCAACAAGGAAAGCGACUCAGGAUGAACCAUAAGUGAACCUCGAAAAUCUUGACGAAUAGAUACUUAGAGCUUCUCCACAUGGAUUUAAUGAGAUCAUCUAGGGUAGAGAGCCUAGGAGGCAAACGGUAUAUUCUGGUUGUGGUAGUUGACUUUUCUAGAUACACUUGGAUUGAACUGUUAAGAGAAAAAUCUGAGACGGGUGAUCUGGUUAAAUCCUUGUGUAAAAGACUCAAAGUUGAACAAAAUCUUCCUAUUUCUAGGGUUCGAAGUGAUCAUGGGAAAGAAUUUGAAAACUUCAAUCUAGAAAACUUCUGUUUGGAGGAGAGGAUUAAGCAUAAGUUCUCUUCACCAAUCACUCCACAGCAAAAUAGAGUUGUUGAGAGGAAGAAUAGAGUGCUUCAAGAAAUGGUUGGGGCCAUACUUCACGGCAAGGAUCUAGCAAUGCAUUUCUGGGGUAAAACUAUUAACACCACGUGCCACAUAGUAAAUAGGGUAUACUUGAGACCGAAAUCAAACAAGACUCCCUAUAAGAUCUAGAAAGGCAAGAAGCCUACUGUUAAAUAUUUUCGGGUGUUUGGCAGUAAGUGUUACAUUCUGAGGGAUAGAGAAAAUCUAGGCUAGUUUGAUUCCAAAAGUGAUGGUGGGAUUUUUCUAGGAUAUUCUACGAACAAUAGAGCCUACAGAGUUUAUAACUUGCAUACUCAGAAUGUCUUGGAAUUUGUAAAUGUUGUUAUUGAUGAUGCCUUUACUGAGGGGGAGAGUGCUAAAAAUAGGGUUGAGAUAGAAGAUCUAAGUGAAGAUCAAAAACCCAUUGCUGAAAAUAAAGAGCAGUCAAUUCCAAAAUCUCCACGCUCCUCAAAAAACAUAUCUGAACAGGGUCUACCCAAUUGGGAUCAGUCUAAGCUUCCUAUAGAACCAUCUUCCAGGGUCAAAUCUAAUCAUCCUAAGGUUAACAUCAUUGGGGAUUUAGAUGAAGGUAUGAGGUUACAAAAGAGAGUUCUAAAUAACCUAACAUAUACUAGUUAUAUAUCCCAGAUUGAACCUAAGAAAGCAGAGAAAGCCCUUAGAGAUGAAUGACAUGCAUGAGGAGCUUAAUCAAUUCGUUCGAAAUAAUGUUUGGAAUCUAGUUCAUAGGCCUGAUGACUAUAAUGUGAUAGGUACUAAGUGGAUCUUCAAGAACAAAAUCGAUGACCAAGGUACUAUAACUAGAAAUAAGGCUAAACUAGUUGCCCAGGGGUACACUCAAGUGGAAGGGGUAGAUUUUGAUGAGACUUUUACCCCAUUUACUCGUCUUGAGUCCAUUCAUAUUCUUUUUGCGGUUGCAUGUACCUUAGGGUUCAAGUUAUAUCAAAUGGAUGUUAAUAGUGAAUUCUUAAAUGGAAUACUUCAAGAAGAGGCGUAUGUUGAACAGCCGAAAUGAUUCAUUGACCCUAAGUUUCCUCAUUAUGUCUACAAACUCAAUAAAAGCACUGUAUGGUCUGAAACAAGCUCCUAGAGCUUGGUAUGACAGACUCACCACUUACCACAUUGAGCAUGGGUUCUCAUGAGGUGAUGUUGACAGAACCUUAUUCAUUAGACAUAUUGAAUAAAUUAUCACUGUAGCUCAGAUUUAUGUCAAUGACAUCAUCUUUGGCUCUCUCAUUGACUCCCUUGCUCUUGAAUUUGCUGAAUGCAUGAAACAAGAAUCUGAAAUGAGCAUGGUUAGAGAGCUAAGUUACUUCCUUGGUUUUCAAGUAAAGCAAACUGAUUGUGGGUUGUUUAUCUCUCAAUCAAAAUAUGCCAAAGACCUUGUGAAGAGAUUUGGCUUGGACAGUAAGAAACACACAAGGACACCCAUGAGCACAAAUGUUAAGUUAGGACAUGAUCCUACAGUUAAGAGUGUUGAUCAGACUGUGUAUAGGAGCAUGAUAGGCAGUCUACUAUAUCUUACAGCCAGUAGACCUGACAUAGCGCUCAGUGUUGGAGUAUGUGCUAGAUUUCAAGCUGAUCCUAAGGAGUCCUAUCUAGGUACAGUGAGGUGCAUUAUUAGAUAUGUCAAUAGGACAGUAGAUCAUGGGAUCUUGUAUUACAGAGAGUCCAACCUAGAACUAGCCGGUUAUUCUGAUGCCAAUUGGGCCAGAAAUGCCGAUGAUAGAAAAAGUACCUGGGGUGGAUGUUUCUAUGUUGGUUCUAAUCUUGUCUCAUGGAUGAGUAAGAAACAAAACUCAGUUUCCUUGUCCACAGCCGAGGCAAAAUACAUUAUAGUUGGUAGUUGUUGCACUCAACUGCUUUGGAUGAAGUAAAUGCUGAGUGACUAUGGGAUAAAUCAGGGUACUAUAACUGUUUUCUGUGAUAAUACUAGUGCUAUCAACAUAUCAAAAAAUCAUGUUCAGCAUUCUAGGACCAAAUACAUUGACAUUCAUCAUCACUUUAUUCGAAAGCUAGUUGAGUCUAAUGUGAUAUCUCUUGAACACAUCUCUACUGAAAAUCAACUUGCCGAUCUGUUCACUAAACCUCUAGAUGGGUUUAGAUUCGAGUCACUUAGAAAGGUUGUUGGCAUUUGUGUUCCUCCCUGAUCGUCUUCAUAGAUACAUGCAUUCUUUUCUGCAUUCAUUACAUUGCCUAUUUGUGUUAAUUUGCAUCUGUCUUUCACUUUGUUUUAAAAAUAAUAAUAAUAAUAAUAAUAAUAAUAAUAAUAAUAAUAAUAAUAAUAAUAAUAAAAUAAAUAUUAAAAAAUAAAAAUAAAAUAAAAAUGGGGGAUUGAUCAUUACGUGUCAUUUUUGCAUUGUAGUUGUUUACUCGGAGUUGUAAUUUGAAAUCAAAUGUGCAUUCUACACAUGAUUAGUUUCUAAUUUCCAUCACUUAUCUUGAGUCUGUAUGGAGUACUUAGUAUAUGUCACUUCAUAUUAUGGGAUUGAACGUAAGAUUAAAAUAAAUAGACGUCCUUAAUGACAGGGGGAGAAAGAACAGUUUUACACCAUAUUUUAACGAAGUAUAGGUCCUAGUGGCAUUGGAUUUGACCUUCAAACGUCUAAGUGUUGACUCCUACGUCAGUGAUUUGGCCGUCUCUUCUCACAAAUUUAAGGUUUUGAGUCUUACUUGCUUGGAAUGAGUGGAACGUUUCACGAGGGGUCACAUAUACAAUUUACUCCAUCUGUCCUUGGUCCCGGUGUAUGGGGAAACAUUUUCUAAUCACUGUGCAUGCCGUAUUUGUGAUCUAUUGCCUUUGAUUGGACCAACUGCCUCUGCAUUGUUCGUGUAUUUUAAAAAAUUUUGGGGUCAAAAUUCAAAUUUCUGAAAAAGGUGCUAUUUUUGAAAAUUUCUGAAGUGCAGUUACUUUGCAAAAGUUUUAAACCUGGGCCUAACUUUUCACAUUUUCAAGUUUAAGUGCUAUUUUUGAUAUUUUCCCUUCGCUCGCUUGACGUUGGAAGCUCGCUCGUGGGACAAAAUCAGAGUCUUGUCGCUCGAUGUUUGCUCGAGCCUCGCUCGAGCAACAGCGAGACUUUUAAUUUUCUCGCAAAGCGUUCCAGGUCAUUUUUUUCAUUUUUUCACAUCUCUCUCUCGCAUUUUCUUUCACGAAGAGCCUUUUCGAUCGAUUUGCACUUCAUUUCGUGCGUGUAGGGCCUCAAUUCCUUAUCCUUGUGUGCAUUCCUUGGUGUUUCCUUGUUCCCAAUUGGUAAGUGCAUUCCUAAACCCACUCGUUUGUUUGUUCUUGUUUUUUUUCUUCUUCGCCAUUUGGAAACUUUGAGAUUGGGUGGUUCUUGAAUGCUGGAUCGAUGGUGUUGUUACGGUAUGUUGGGUGUCCAUUACGUUAUUGCAUUUGUAGGUUAUCUUCCUUGUGUUUCAAAUGCUUGCAAGGUGUUUGAUGAAAUGUCUCAUCUCCACAACCUUACUUCCCUUGCCCAUUGUGUGCCAUUCCUCGUGUAUGAUUGGUGUCUUAGGUACACAAUAUGUGAAUUAAUUAUUUCUUUGAUCUUAUUUCCAAUAACGUGACAAACACACUUCCCCGAUUAAGUCAUCAAACUUUACAACAAUCACCUAACAAGUCGGUGCUUAAACCUGACAGAUUGUGCAUGUACCAAGUUUAGAGGGUGUGUAUGCAAUGGGAAUCAUCAAUUAUCAAUAGAAAUUGGAAAUUAUUUAUGUGUGUCAAAAUCUCAUAUUGAUCUUGUUCACGUCUAGUUCACGUCACUUACGUGUUGGUCAUUGUCCUUAGGCUUGUGUGUGAUUGAACUUUAGGGCUUGUGCAGUCAUAUGUCUCCAUAAAUUCGUUUUCCUUGAGGAUUGAUUUAUCUUCUACAUCUCGCAUUGUAGAUGGCACCUAAGAGGGCUAGGACUACAGCUCAGCCUGGUAGUGGAUCGACUUCGUUUAGUCGUUCUAGGUUCAUUUCCUCUACUGCUCAAGAGGUAUUUGGGAGCCAGUUUUCCCGUCAUCCUGUCCUAAUAGAGCGUGACGUCACUCUAUCCGACCUAUCCCUUGAUGUAGCAGCUAUCUUUACUUCUCGAGGUUGGGAAUCCUUGUUGAUUGGGUUAAAUCUCCCGCCUAGUCUUCUUGUUCAGGAGUUCUAUGUGAACAUCCAUGACAUUAGUGGUUCGUCCUUCCGGGUGUUCCUUCGGGGUCAAACCCUUAGGAUUUCUCCAGAUGUUAUUUGCAGUUCCAUACAUGUUCCCCGGGUCAUUCACCCCGUUUACCCAUAUCUCUCGACUGAUUCUAUUCUGGCCGACUCUCUGGUUCGGUCCACUCUGUUUAAUAGCCCUUUCGAAGGUGGGCCUGAGGCGAUCCGCAUUAGUUCGCUCCCCAUUGAUCGACAGAUUUUGUUGCGCAUUGUGUGUACAAAUCUGUGGCCUGUCUCUCACACUUCUUCCCUAUCUAUGGAAAAGGCGAGAUUUCUUUUUGCUUUGCUGCAUGGGGAUUCGAUUGACCUACCUACCUUCAUUUGCCAGCACAUUCUGUGUACCUUUCGCACUUCCAGUCAUAGGAUUGGUCUUCUUUAUGCUUGCUUGAUCUACCGCUUGGGGCUUCAUUUUCCGAUGCGGUCUCACGACGAGUACUUCAUCCCAUAGGGCACACUACCAUCUCUCAAAGUAGGUCACGUCACUUCCUCUGCUUCUGCAUCUGCUCUUGCUAAGCCAGCUGAGCUAUCGACCCAACAGUGCCCUCUGAUCCUUUGGGUGAUUUACUUGUUGAUCUCUCGGCUAUUCCUCCGUCCACUUCCGAUAUUCCUUCUUCUUCCACUUCUAUUCCACCACCUGCCCAGCCUACUCUGACUACUAUUCCUGUUGACCCCACUAUCGUACUUAUGGGUCAGAUGUCGAUUCUCAUUGAGUAGCAGGCCCGCAUGAUGGUUGACAUUACUCAGUUACGAGCUGCUUUAGAGCGUCAUACUGCGGAGUUUGCUACAUUGCGAGGGGCUAUUGCUCUUGUUCAGCGCGAUAUUCGAUGGAUGCACGAGCACUGGGAUUAUAAGUCUGAGGCUGAGGAUUCUGUGGACGUGGAUGGAGGAGAUGAUGAUCCUGCUUAGUUGCUUGGGGUUCUCCUUGCCAUUUGUGACAAAAAGGGGGAGUGGGUGCUAAUUUUUGGGAUUUGUAAUGAUAAAGUACUUUGAUAAUGUACUAUUGAUAUUUUUGGCUAGAUUAUGUGUUGAUGCUUUGGACUAUUGAUGCAUGUUUUUGGUGGUAUGACUUACAUUGAUAUUGUCUCUUAAUCUAGCAUAUUGGUACAAUUUUAUGGCUAUUCAUGACUCUUUAUCUUUUAUGUUUACUAUAUCACUGUUCCUCGUGCUUUUACACUGGGUAUGUGAGUUGUGAUUUCAGGAAAUAGGUUGAAAGAUGACAAGGCAACAGUGAGUUGAGUCAAUGUAUUGGACUGUCAUUAUAGUUCAUGCUACUGUAAUUUGGUUUUGUUACAGAAUGUCAAAGGGAGAGUUUGUUAGAUUUUGUGUUGGCUAUUCUGUGAACAAAAGGGUAAAAUUGUAAAUGUUCAAUAGUUUGGGGUCAAUUUGUCAAUAGUUAAAGGUUAGGGGUCAUUGUGUACAUGUGUAAAAGAUGAGGGACUCAGUUGUAAUUUUGACAAAGUGUGCUAGGGUUCAAGCUAUGAAGUAGGGCAAGAUGUGUCGUUGAAGUUUCGCUAGCUGCUCACCAAGUGGUCGCUCGAGCAACAAAAACAGAAAGGUCGUCGCUGGUUUCUCGCCCCCACUUCGCUCGAGGGAAACAAUGUCGCUCGCUUUUCACUUGAGCGACAGUGUAACCCAUAAAACCCUAUUUUUCUUUUUUCGACAUUUUAACCUGACCAAAAGAUCCAAAUACAUUGCAUAUAAGAAAAAUUGCGCCGAUUUUCAGUUGUGCUCUAAAGGGAUUGAAAUUGAAUAAAACUCACUACACUUUGAUCCUCUUAUUCAACCCCAUAUUUGAUUUGAGCAAUUACAUUAAAAAUAUCAAAUCAACAUUCACCAAACACCACAACACAACCUUCUAGAGCCUUUGUUGAUUCUUGGAGAUCGAGGAAGGAGAUCGGAGUCCCGAUCAUUAGAGAACAGGCGGUUCUCUUGAAUCUACAGGAGAUAGACAAAAUCAAGAGCCGAGAAUUGGUAUAGCAUGCAAUCCAGGAGGGCUAGGUACCGGGAGUUGGUGCAGAAUCACGCAUUCCAGAAAGGCUUUGAGGAAACUAUGGUCAGGAUGUCAGAAAAGCCAGUGUAGAUUGAGUCUGAUUGAUUGUAAGUUUCAUUUUCGUUUAUAGUGGAUUCGUACUGGCUUGGGCCCGGAGUUUUACCCACAUUGGGGCUUCUUCGUCAUCAAACAAUUGUGUUAUUUAUCUUUCUGCAAUUAAUUUAAGACCGGUAUUCAAACAUAGGAUAGUAAAGCAUGUGAGCUGAUCUAGACAAAUUAAUAUUUGUGACGUGUUGCAAUUACUAAUUGAUUGAAAAAGAAAAUUCCGCAUAAACACCUAUUUACCCCCCCUAGGUAUUGAUUGGGCCCAAAAAAAAGUUCGAAUAUUUUACUCGAGCCAAGCUCGAGCCUAAAAUUUUGGCUCACGAGCCGGCUCGGCUUGGCUCUUCGACUCGUUGACAUCCCUAUGUUGAUGACAUGUUGAUUAUGAGUAAUCACAUAUGUGGAAUAUACGAAACAAAGAUGUUUCUAUCUUCCACAUUCAAGAUAAAGGAUCUUGGACAAGUAAAUACCAUUUUGGAUGUUAGAGUCACAAAGACUAGUGGGUUAUCAUCCAAGUCAAUUACAUUAUAUCGAGAUUGUAAUAAACAAGUUCAAAACGUAAAGGAGUAUAGUACUCGAUUGAUCCAAGUUCAAAGAUUUUAAAGAAUGAUGGAAGGGCAAUUGCUUAAUUGGAAUAUAUAAGUGCUAUUAGUAGUCUUAUGCAUACAGUUCAAUGCACAGGACCAAACAUAGCAUAUACAAUAAGUAAACUUAGUUGAUCUACUAGCAAUCCGAACAAUGAUCAUUGGAAGGCCAUUGGGAGAGUUAUUGGAUUCUUAAAGAAAACCAAAAACUCAAGCCUACAAUAUGCCAAAUUCCCGACUGUAUUGGAAGGAUUUAUCGAUGUUAGUUGGAUAUCUAACACGAGUAAAAGUAAAUCUACUUCAUGUUAUGUGUUCACUCUGGGAGGCAGUGCUGUUUCUUGGAAAUCAAAGAAACGGACAUUUAUAACACACUCGACAAUGGAAUCCAAAUUUGUAGCACUAUCGAAAACUAGGAAAGAGGCUGAGUAACUUAAAGAUCUAUGAGAUACCUUUGGUAUUAAAGAACAUUUCCUCAAUACCUAUCAUGUGCGAUAGUCAAGCCACGUUAACAAAAACAUACAAUGAGGUAUGCAACGAAAAAUCUAGACGUAUGAGUCUUAGAUGUAACUACAUAAGAAAACUAAUCAAUGAUGGAAUAAUUUCUCUAAAUUGUGUAAGAUCAAUUGAGAAUUUAGCAGAUCCUUUGACUAUACCUCUAAAUAAAGAUUUAGUAGCGUCUACUUCAAGUAGGAUGAAGUUAAAACUCCUAACUCGAAAAGGUCCAACAACAACCCUACCUAUCAUUACACUAAAGGUAAUCUACGAAUUCAAAGGGUAACAACAAAUUAUUCGAUAUGUGGAUAGUCUCAGCAUUAUACAAAUCCGCGAUAACACUAUCCUAAUUAAAUAAUGCUAAUUGUUACUGAAAUGAGGGUUGAGAUUAAAGCUCUUAAUAAAGUUUAUUGUUAAAAUACAAGUAUCUUUAAAAAUAACAAAGAAAUUGGAAGAACUUCACAUAAAUGAACUUCGACGUAGUACUGUCUCAAUAGAGAGUUGAAGUUUCUCUCUUAAAGAUUUGUUUAAAAAGGAUGAGUGCAAGGCUAUAAAGCACUAAACUAGUUUUGAGGAACUUGAGAAUAUGUGAUACUUGUAUAUGUGUUCUUACCAGUAUUAUCACAUGGAAUAAGUGUUUCAAAGUUUCGUGCUAACUUUUGAUUCUGACUUUACGUUGUUUGAGUUGCACUAUGGUUAGAUUCAAAUCAAAAUAUAUCUAAUCCUUAUGCAUGAUUAUUGUUUAAUUUUGAAUAUGAGACUUUAUUGUAUUUUGAACAAGUAGGGAAUUGUUGAGAAUUGUUGUUCAAAACAAUAAAGUGCAGUAUGUGGAAAGAUGAAGAAAUAGGAAAUGGAAACCAAAACUUAUACCCAUGCAACCGCAUGAAAGAAAUGCCCAUGCGGUCGCAUGGGCAUGUGCAGAAAAUUGGAGGCCCAUUCGAAGGUACUUUAUGCAAUUACAUAGAGAAAAAAUAUUGAUCGUUAGAGGCCAUUUUUAACGUCGUUACUUUGAUUUUGGUGGCGUUUCUUGCACUUUUGGCACCAUUUUGUGCAUAUGGACAAAGUCUAUAAUAGUAGAGCCAUGAUUGAAGGAAAUAUACAUUGAAAACUCUUGAAAUCAAUAUUCAUUCCUCAAUCAAGAUCAAACCUUGAUUCUUCAUAUUCGAACAUCCUCCUUUGUGUUCUUCAAGUUUUGAUAGGAAUACUUUGUGCUUUGGCAUUCUUGCAACAAGACUUGAUUAAUCCUUCAAACUGUUUGCCAAAAAACCCUUAAGCAUCUCGUACAAUUGGAAGAGUGGGCAAAUAUCGUUUGAAGACAACGAUAUUUUGUUCGGGCCUUCAAAUUUGUUCUUAGCAAGUUUCAAGUUUUCUUCAUCUUGUUGCUAGUUUUUUCUUUUGAUUUUAUCUUUGUUUCAUCUCCUUCCCUCCAUUUCCAACAUGGUAGCUACUGUUUUGUUUUGUUCAGUUAUGUACUUUUCUUUGUCAUUUUACAAUAUAUCUAAAAGAAAUAAACUUUCAUACUUGUAGCGGACAUUCUCUAUGACGGUAAUGGUUUGGAAGUGCUUUCUCCUUUAUGUCGACACUUAUUUCUAGAAAUGGCUGGUCUCAAGAACUCUGCCAAGGUUAAUUGCAUUUUGCAUAUGAUGAUUCAAGCUUUUAGUUGAUAUUUUAUUCAAGUGACAAUAUUUGAGAUGUGAGGAGAAAAAACUCAUUGUUUGGCAGGGAAUGGCAGUUGUUGCAGCAAGGGCAACAAGAUUGCCUAUAAAAGAUGACAGCCCCUACCUAUAGGGGCACGCCACGUCCAGAGCUCAUGUGGCCCUAAAUGUCAAGCAGGGCUCAUUAUUUAUUUGGCAAAGACCUUUUUGCAAAAGGCGGAGCCAUCUCAACACUCUUUAAUGCUGUUGGAAUAGGUGUAGGAAUUCAAUUAGCUUCUACUAUUUGCUCAACUAUGGAGGGAAAUGUAACAUAACUCUUCACUGCUAUCUAUAUGCAAUUUUGGACUUUUAGCAUUGGGCUUUUCUAACUUCAUAUUUUACUUUUAAAUGAAUGAAUCCGCUACAUGGUUUUAUUUUGUAAUCAUUUAAAAGAAGUGCAGGUUAAUGUGUCAUAGGUACUUUGACGAAUCGUAAUCACUCUUGAUAUAGCCCCCUUAAAUUUGUACGUAGAUUGGGUUGGCUUAUUAGGGAUUCAGUGCUUGCUAGACUACUUGGUUCAAAAACUCUAAUUUCUGAAUAGAAAGAAACUGGUCAAUAGUAAAUUUGUCAUGAUCAAUUCAAAACCAUUUGAUUGCUUAAAUCUGUUUCAUAUAUGGACCUUUUGCACAACUUCUUCCUCCUACACCACCAUAGAGCUUUUCAUGUAUAAACGGUGAGUUACAGAAUGAGGAAGUUUUAUAGAGCAGUAUAGAGUGUUAGUAAGAUGCUAAGGCUUCUAAAGAUUGCUUGCAUAUCUAAUGGAUUGAAAAUAUUAGUUGCUAGGCUUAUGCUUGCACUAGAACCAUGUGUCUCUGAUGGUAAAAUAUAUACAGAGAUGCGAGCUAUUUUGGGGACGUUUGUUUCAUAUUUUUAUAAGAAUGAAAAUGAAAAAUAUAGCUGUUAUGGGUCCUACACAAAAUAUAAAAAUUCAAAUUUGGUGACUUAAUAUGAUGGAUAAUGAUCAUAUUUUUCAUUUUAAUGGAGAAUGAAUAGAAAACAAACAGGGGCUAAAUCAACAGAGAAUCACAGUGAUCGUAGCAAAUUUUGUGAAGGUCUCUUACUAAGCCCCUAUUUGGUUUGGAUAAAAAUAAAAUUUUAGUAGAUUUUGAUAAAAGUUGUAGGUCCAAUGAAAUUUGUGGUUGAAAAUGAGUUUUAAGAAAUAUGGGCUAAAAGGGGCUAAAUAUGGUUGCUUGAGAUACUUGAGAUAUUUAAAAUUCAAGCAACUUAUAUUUUGGCCAACAUUGAAAUAGACGGGUAAAAUAUCCAGUUCUGUGUAUCUAAGAUAUGGAAAAGAUCUGGUAUUUCCCGGACGACUGAUUGAGGAAGCCGGAAAUGUUUAUGGUGGGAAGGGCUUUACACAAGGUUGUCAAGCCUUUGGAGCUUCACCGGAUAAAAAAAAAACACUUCCCCAAGAGAAAUUUAAUUUACAUCUUGGAAGUCGAUGGACGGAUAUGAUAUUGGAGCACAACACAACUGAAGAUGCAUUGAGAGGAUUGCUAACGUUGCAUAUGCUACAGAUAUACAGAAGUCUUUUAAUGCGUCUAGUGAGAUCGUAUUGCAAAAUGGGUAUGAGAGGAUGAAUAACGUGUUUUCUCCCUUUCUCUCAGAGCUUCAGUCUAAAGGGUGACAUACCGAUCGUUUUCUUAAUGGGUCGGGAUGUCGUUUUUCUUUAUAAUGUCGUAGUACAUGGUGACUUUUUCAAGAAAUUUUGCCUCUUUUGAAUUUUCUUUAAUUUAUUGUUGAAAGUUUUCCUAAUCUAAGGCUGCUUAGAUAAAUUAAAUUAUCUUACUUGUAUGAUUACUAAUGCUACAGCCCUACUGCUUUAAUCACUGUUCAAAAUGGAGUGAUACAUCAUUCUCUAGUAACACUUGAAAUAAAAGCAUGAUUAGAGAUAAAGUUAAAUGAUUUUUAAAUUUUUCUUGUAAAAACGUGUUCGAUAUGAUCAUUUUUCAAGUUGGUCUGGAUAAUACUUACUCGAUCAUUUUCUCAAGUGGGUAGAACUUAUAUUCCACCAAAUCGUACAUUCAAUUAGGUUUGUACUUUACAAUUUAUGUUAUAAAUUAAACGAAUAAUUUGGAUCAUCAAGAGUAAUUAAUAAAGAAUUGGAUGAUGUUGCAUUGGGUUUAGGCUCUUCAGAGUUCGAAUUACCUAAAAGAUGUCUAAAUUCUAAUCAAUUUUCAUCUUCUCUCCAGCAAUAUAAUAAGGUUCGGAAUUGUAUUUGUUUGAAAAAUUUGUUUGGUAUGAUAAAUUGUACGAAUUCGAGUCGGUGAAUUUCCAAGUACAAAGAAAUUGACAAUUGCUAACAACAUCAUGUCGAAUAAAGUGUACAGAUAAAUUGAUUGUGGACAAAUUUUGGUGAUUCUUUUUAAGUUGAUAGCUAUGUCCAAUAUAUUUAAUAUUGUGAAGAGUAAUCCUCUUCUAACCCAGAGGGCCGACCACUAGAUGCAAUAUCGACACUGAGAAUCUUACCUAAUAUUUUUUAUUAAUACUUUUUCUUCUUUAUGGCGAAAUGAGUUUUAAUUUCAAACACAUCAUUCUUGUUCAAGAUAUGCUCUACAAAUAUUGUUUUGUCAUCGGUGGCGGAUCCAAUACUUGACGAACACUUGCGGCGGCGCGUGUUGGAGCCAUUGGAGCAAAAAUUUUUUGUUGACAAUAAAUAAACUUUUUAACUUA
rnacentral:lncRNA from 1 species